rnacentral:rRNA from 1 species
UACGUAGGGGGCAAGCGUUGUCCGGAAUCAUUGGGCGUAAAGAGCGUGUAGGCGGCCCGGUAAGUCCGCUGUGAAAGUCCAGGGCUCAACCCUGGGAUGCCGGUGGAUACUGUCGGGCUCGAGUCCGGAAGAGGAGUGUUGAAUUCCUGGUGUAGCGGUGAAAUGCGCAGAUAUCAGGAGGAACACCAAUGGCGAAGGCAGCACUCUGGGACGUGACUGACGCUGAGACGCGAAAGCGUGGGGAGCAAACGGG